AUUGCUGUUUAAAAUUAUUAUUUAAUAUCAUCACUAUUGUUUUCAGACUACUUGUUUUGUUAUCUAAGAUGACUAACAAAGAAACAUUCCAUACAAGAUUGAAUAAGAUAAAAUGGAAUAAGACACUGAGGCAGAGAAAUUCAUUUAUCGAGCAGUUUUAGGAGUGUGGAGAAAGGAAGGAGAGUGAGAAGAGAGAAAGGGAGAGGAGUAUUCACUAGGAUUAUAAACAGUGGCUUAGCACAUUGCAAGUCCUUUUCCCUGUCUAAGGAGAUUCAUUAACACCUUAUAAGCUUGAAGGUUUUCUUGUGACGGUUACAUGGACUCUAGCACAGGCAAACAUGUUUUGUUAUUGGACCCUGAAGGGAAGAGGACAUUUGCUGUGACCAGAAGGGCUGGAAAUCGAUGCCAGGGCCCAAAGGUGAAAACACUGUUUCUAAGCCAAGCUCUGUAGAAUACACAGGACUCUAAUCAUUUGCCUUCUUCUAUAAGGACUGACAGUUUUUGCUCUUAAUUGACUGUUUUUGCCCUUUCCCAGGUCUGUUUUGUGAACCUGGAUGUGAACAAGGAUGAAUGCAGCACAGAGCACCUGCAGCAGAAAUUGGUCAAUGUUUCACCAGAUCUUCCAAAACUUAUCAACUCUAUGAAUGUCCAACAGCCAAAAGAAAAUGAAAUUGUCCUGCUAAGUGGAUUAGCAUCUGGAAAUCUCCAGGCAGAUUUUGAAGUUUCACAGUGCCCUUGGCUAUCAGAUAUCUGCUUGGUCCAAUGUGCGAGAGGGAACAGACCCAACAGCACCAACUGCAUCAUCUUUGAAAUCAACAAAUUCUUGAUUGGUCUGGAACUGGUGCAGGAGCGGCAGCUCCACUUGGAGACAAACAUCUGAAACUGGAGGAUGACACGAACUGUUCCCUGUCCUCCAUUGAGGAAGACUUUCUCACUGCCUCGGAGCACUUGGAGGAGGAGAGCGAGGUGGAAGAAUACAGGAACGGUGAGGACUUCCCAUUAAAACAAAUCUGCAUCCUGGUAUUAGUCACCAUAUGCAAAUGUCUGGGAAAGGUUUCUGAGAAGUGUCAGACCACAUUUCAUUGAACCAUUGAGGAAGUCAGGAAGGAGGACGAGAGGACACAGGUGGAGAGAUGUGCUCAGCACACUUACUGGGUGGCUGAUGCAGACUUUCAGAAGAAGCCUGAGGGGCAAGAAAACUGCGUGUUUCAAAGGGA